GCCCGCGGGGGCCACACGCUGGGAGCUGCAGGGGCGGGCGCGGGGGCGGCGGCUGGGUGAGGACGCAGGCCUGAGUCAGAGCUGCGGCCCGCGAAGCGAGCCCGGCCUGAGGGCAGCGGCGGGCACUUGGGGGCCACCCCGCCCCGGGCAGCGCCCGCCGGCUCUCGGCUCAGUCCGGCUCAUUCUUCCCGGCCGCCGCCUCGUGCUCCGGAGCUGGGGACCCGGGGGCGGGCAGGAGAGGCCUCGCUCGCCCAGGACCUGCUCGGGGACCCCGCCCGCGCUGGUGAUCGAUCGUCGAGUCCCUAUCACAGGCCUCCUUGGGGUGAGGAAACAGCUGGGGACUAAGGAAAACUCGAGAUCCCAGCAGGGCAGAUUGGCCCUCCACCCCAGGGCCGUGUCCCUGCCUGCAGCCUGAGCCUGGAUUCCAUUUCCAGGCCGACUGGCAACUUGGAAUCAGCUGCGUCCAGUUGGAGCUGAGCUGGUUGGGGCCGGAUGGGACCACCGAUUCCCGAGCCGGGCCUGCGCGAGGGCCCGCCGAGCGCCCUCUAGACCGUGCAGGGGCCUGUAGCCCAGCUACGCCUGCGCAGAAGGAGUCCCGCACCUUUCUCCAAUCAUCAGUCACCUUUCCCCGCGCUCCCCACGCCUCAGGUGGCCCUGCUUCUUUAUUCGUUAUCGCGUAAAUACCCCGAGCCCCUUCCCUUCCCUUCCGGGACGCAGAGCUGAGAUCUGCCCUCCUAUCUCCUGGCUUGGCCGCCUCGCCAACAGACCCGGGCGUCUCGGCGUUUGGCUUGCUGUGCAUCAGCCAAGAGGAACCUGGUUGGGUACCAACUGCACAGGGACACUGCGCUCGGGGCCGCUGACUCUGCGCCACCUGAACCAGUUUGUGGUUUCGAAAACAUCAGGGCUUCCUGCUCCGAGCUGUUCACUGACACUUGGAGUGCGUGGUCCCUGCGGUUUCUGUGGCUCUUCUUUCGGGACAAGCAGUGUUCUUACAGGCGCUUCUUCUCAGGGAGUGUGACCAGGGCUGUUAACUGAGCAGUUGACCAGCAUCUGUAAACUCCUCCAUCUGUGCUGAAAUCUGGUGAUGUAACCGUCUUCAGGAUUAGCGGGGUCUGAGGCCCAGAGGGAAGCAGGAGGCCGCUGUACGCUGGCGGGGACAGUCCUCUGCUCGGUGUCGGGGACGAGGACCCGGGAGACGUGCAGUACGUCCGGUGUGAUGCUCCUGUCACGCCGAUGGGACGUGACACCGGGAACGGAGCCGUGAGGCCCCCGACAGCCAGGGCGGCGCAGCCCGUCUGCAGAGUCCCACCUGCUUCCCUGAAGCCUCUGCACAUCCCCAGGAGAGCGGACCUUCCCUCUCUGUCCAGGACGCAAAUGGAGGCACGUUUCCCCUGCCCGGUGAUGGAAGGGAGUCCAGGAGCCGCGCAGGCUGCUUUCGGAUAAAUUGCUCUUGCAAAAGUCUGGAGGACACUGGGAAAGGGAAGAGACCGGAGGCCCGGAGGCAACUAGAAGCCUGUUCAGAUUUCCGGGAGGGACAGGAGUCCGCCAGCGGUGACGGUGACGGGGAUGGAGCAGCGUGAACGUCUGCGCAGCCGAGUGAACGAAGCAGGGUGUGAGGAGGGCCGUAUUCUGAAUACUUUGCGAUCAAGAUUUUGUUCCAACUUAUGAAACUCUUCUGUACUUCUGGGAUUUUACAGAUUCUAAAUUAUUUCAUAUCAACACUCAUUCCACCUGUUGUACGUGAGGAGAAAAGGUCAGUUCUACAGUAGACAAUCAGCGUAUCAAUCACUCGUGUUGAGAGAGAGUGAAGGUGUACCCACACGGCAGCAGCUGGGUCACUAGGAAGUUGCCACAGGUCAAGGCUUUAGAGACGGCACAGAAAGCAGCUGGAAAACAAGGGCGUCUGUGAAGGGAGCGGGGGCCACUCCAUCCGGCAGCUGACACAGCCAGACCCGUGCGCCGGGCUCCAGUCACCAGCGCAGGUACGUCAGUUAAAUUUAUAUGUAAGCUUGUUGAGGAAAACAACUUCCAAACAAACACAAUGCAAACUAGUGACAGCAUCCAAUACAGGCCGCUGAGGUGGUGCGCUUCGGGCGCCCAAGCCCUCGCCAACCCCUGCGACUCUGAGCCAUCCACCCGGGCGGGGCUCCAACCAUCCGGGGGCAGAAUGACUCAGGCUCCUUUCAGGCUACAGACGCAAGAAAAGGGGCCCUGAGAUGACACCCACCAAUCACCCAAAGCUGUGGUAAACAGCAGGACCCUGCAGGUGCCGAAGACCUCCAGAAACACCGUGCGCGAGGAGGCCCGCCCGUGCAGUGGGGACGGGGGCCCGGCUCCCCGGAGGCCCUCGCUGUCGCCCACAGCUGUAGCAGCUGUCGC